rnacentral:siRNA from 1 species
GGAAUUGUAACUGAGAUCGUGGU